rnacentral:lncRNA from 1 species
GGCAUGCUAAUCUGUUGUGGUCAAUCUCUAAAUGCACUUGAGUCCGAUGAAGAGCAGCCUACAAAACAAGCUUAUUGACUAAAAUUUUGUCCGAUGAGGAUCCUUCAAUGCCUAAAUCAGUGGAGAGUGGCAAACAAGAGAUUUAGUGUAGAAUUCGAUAGAGUUUUAGUUCAAAAAAAACCUCUUACCAUUGCUGUUGGGUAUAAAAUGCCCACAGUCAAAAUCCUCGACGGAAUCGACUCC